UCCGUAGGUGAACCUGCGGAAGGAUCAUUAAAACGAACCUUCGGGGGUAGGACCCAAAAUUUGGCACACUAUCGUCGAGCCCACGUUCCCCGAUAUCCAUCUUUUGACCUACCCUGUCUGAACAUACCCAUGAUUUUGCGUACUAUUUGUUUCCUUGGUGGGCUUGCCCACCGCUAGGACAACUAAACCCUUUUGUAAUUGCAGUCAGCGUCAGAAACAAAUAAUCGUUACAACUUUCAACAACGGAUCUCUUGGUUCUGGCAUCGAUGAAGAACGCAGCGAAAUGCGAUAAGUAGUGUGAAUUGCAGAAUUCAGUGAAUCAUCGAAUCUUUGAACGCACAUUGCGCCCCUUGGUAUUCCAUGGGGCAUGCCUGUUCGAGCGUCAUUUGUACCUUCAAGCUUUGCUUGGUGUUGGGUGUUUGUCUCGCCUCUGCGCGUAGACUCGCCUCAAAAAAAUUGGCAGCCGGCGUAUUGAUUUCGGAGCGCAGUACAUCUCGCGCUUUGCACUCAUAACGACGACGUCCAAAAGUACAUUUUUACACUCUUGACCUCGGAUCAGGUAGGGAUACCCGCUGAACUUAAGCAUAUCAAUAAGCGGAGGA
rnacentral:rRNA from 1 species